rnacentral:rRNA from 1 species
CGGGGGGGGCAAGCGUUGUUCGGAAUUACUGGGCGUAAAGGGCUCGUAGGCGGCCAACUAAGUCAGACGUGAAAUCCCCAGGCUCAACCUGGGAACUGCGUCUGAUACUGGAUGGCUUGAAUCCGGGAGAGGGAUGCAGAAUUCCAGGUGUAGCGGUGAAAUGCGUAGAUAUCUGGAGGAAUACCGGUGGCGAAGGCGGCAUCCUGGACUGGCAUUGACGCUGAUGAGCGAAAGCCAGGGGAGCAAACGGGAUUAGAUACCCCGGUAGUCCUGGCCCUAAACGAUGAAUGCUUGGUGUGACGGGUAUCGAUCCCUGUCGUGCCGAAGCUAACGCAUUAAGCAUUCCGCCUGGGGAGUACGGUCGCAAGGCUG